UACGGAGGGUGCGAGCGUUGUCCGGAAUCACUGGGCGUAAAGGGCGCGUAGGCGGCGCGGGGAGUCAACGGUGAAAGCUCGGCGCUCAACGCCGAGUCGGCCGUCGAUACUCCCGUGCUCGAGCACUGUAGAGGCAGGUGGAAUUCCGGGUGUAGCGGUGGAAUGCGUAGAGAUCCGGAAGAACACCGGUGGCGAAGGCGGCCUGCUGGGCAGUGGCUGACACUGAGGCGCGACAGCGUGGGGAGCAAACAGG
rnacentral:rRNA from 1 species